GCAGUUUCUCAACUAUAACCUGCUUUUCUGCCCUCACAACUUUUCCUCGUGUUUUUCUCUCUUCCUAGAUUUCCUUUUCUUCUGUUAACCAGUGAUGAACUCCCACUCAUCCAUCAAGCCCCAGAAUGUUUGCUCCAUGAAGACAGAGGUCUUAGUCUUGCUCCCAGAUGUAUCUUCAGUGCCCAGAACAGUGCUUGGCAAAAGCACUCAACAAACAGC